UACGGGGGGGGCAAGCGUUGUUCGGAAUUACUGGGCGUAAAGGGCUCGUAGGCGGCCAACUAAGUCGGAUGUGAAAUCCCCAAGCUUAACUUGGGAACUGCAUCCGAUACUGGAUGGCUUGAAUCCGGGAGAGGGAUGCAGAAUUCCAGGUGUAGCGGUGAAAUGCGUAGAUAUCUGGAGGAAUACCGGUGGCGAAGGCGGCAUCCUGGACCGGUAUUGACGCUGAGGAGCGAAAGCUAGGGGAGCAAACGGG
rnacentral:rRNA from 1 species